UUAAGUGAAUAAGGGCGCACGGUGGAUGCCUUGGCACUAGGAGCCGAUGAAGGACGGGACUAACACCGAUAUGCUUUGGGGAGCUGUACGUAAGCUAUGAUCCAGAGAUUUCCGAAUGGGGGAACCCAACAUCUUUAAUAGGAUGUUACGAUUGUGUGAAUACAUAGCACAUUCGAGGUAGACGCAGAGAACUGAAACAUCUAAGUACCUGCAGGAAGAGAAAGAAAAUUCGAUUCCCUGAGUAGCGGCGAGCGAAACGGGAAAAGCCCAAACCAGCAAGCUUGCUUGUUGGGGUUGUAGGACUCCAAUAUGGUAGUUCUUUCAGAUAGUCGAAUGACUUGGAAAAGUCAGUCAAAGAGGGUAAAAACCCCGUAGACGAAAUGUGGAAGACACCUAGGAGGAUCCUGAGUACGGCGGAACACGAGAAAUUCCGUCGGAAUCCGGGAGGACCAUCUCCCAAGGCUAAAUACUCCCUAGUGACCGAUAGUGAACCAGUACCGUGAGGGAAAGGUGAAAAGCACCCCGGAAGGGGAGUGAAAUAGAACCUGAAACCGUGUGCCUACAACAAGUCAAAGCCCGUUAAUGGGUGAUGGCGUGCCUUUUGUAGAAUGAACCGGCGAGUUACGAUUGCAUGCGAGGUUAAGUUGAAGAGACGGAGCCGCAGCGAAAGCGAGUCUGAAUAGGGCGUUUGAGUAUGUAGUCGUAGACCCGAAACCAUGUGAUCUACCCAUGUCCAGGUUGAAGGUGCGGUAAAACGCACUGGAGGACCGAACCCACGUACGUUGAAAAGUGCGGGGAUGAGGUGUGGGUAGCGGAGAAAUUCCAAACGAACUUGGAGAUAGCUGGUUCUCUCCGAAAUAGCUUUAGGGCUAGCCUCGGAAUUGAGAAUGAUGGAGGUAGAGCACUGUUUGGACUAGGGGCCCAUCUCGGGUUACCGAAUUCAGAUAAACUCCGAAUGCCAUUCAUUCAUAUCCGGGAGUCAGACUGUGAGUGAUAAGAUCCAUAGUCGAAAGGGAAACAGCCCAGACCACCAGCUAAGGUCCCAAAAUAUAUGUUAAGUGGAAAAGGAUGUGGGGUUGCACAGACAACUAGGAUGUUGGCUUAGAAGCAGCCACCAUUUAAAGAGUGCGUAAUAGCUCACUAGUCGAGUGACCCUGCGCCGAAAAUGUACCGGGGCUAAACAUAUUACCGAAGCUGUGGAGUACACCUUUAGGUGUAUUGGUAGGAGAGCGUUCUAAGGGCGUUGAAGGCAGAUCGUGAGGACUGCUGGAGCGCUUAGAAGUGAGAAUGCCGGUAUGAGUAGCGAAAGACAGGUGAGAAUCCUGUCCACCGAAUGACUAAGGUUUCCUGGGGAAGGCUCGUCCGCCCAGGGUUAGUCGGGACCUAAGCCGAGGCCGACAGGCGUAGGCGAUGGAUAACAGGUUGAUAUUCCUGUACCCGUUGUUUUUGUUUGAGCAAUGGAGGGACGCAGGAGGCUAAGGAAUGCAGACGAUCGGAAAUGUCUGUCCAAGCAGUAAGUCUGAAGAGGAGUCAAAUGCUUCUUUUCUUAAGGACAAGCUGUGAUGGGGAGGGAAAUAAUAGUACCGAAGUUCCUGAUGUCACACUGCCGAGAAAAGCUUCUAGUGAGAAAACAGCGGCCCGUACCGCAAACCGACACAGGUAGUCGAGGAGAGAAUCCUAAGGUGAGCGAGAGAACUCUCGUUAAGGAACUCGGCAAAAUGACCCCGUAACUUCGGGAGAAGGGGUGCUGAUCAUACGAUCAGCCGCAGUGAAUAGGCCCAAGCGACUGUUUAUCAAAAACACAGGUCUCUGCAAAAUCGUAAGAUGAAGUAUAGGGGCUGACGCCUGCCCGGUGCUGGAAGGUUAAGAGGAGUGCUUAGCGCAAGCGAAGGUACGAAUUGAAGCCCCAGUAAACGGCGGCCGUAACUAUAACGGUCCUAAGGUAGCGAAAUUCCUUGUCGGGUAAGUUCCGACCCGCACGAAAGGCGUAACGAUUUGGGCACUGUCUCAACGAGAGACUCGGUGAAAUUUUAGUACCUGUGAAGAUGCAGGUUACCCGCGACAGGACGGAAAGACCCCAUGGAGCUUUACUGUAGUUUGAUAUUGAGUGUCUGUACCGCAUGUACAGGAUAGGUAGGAGCCGUAGAAAUCGGAACGCUAGUUUCGAUGGAGGCGCUGGUGGGAUACUACCCCUGCGUUAUGGCCACUCUAACCCGCACCACUGAUCGUGGUGGGAGACAGUGUCAGAUGGGCAGUUUGACUGGGGCGGUCGCCUCCUAAAAGGUAACGGAGGCGCCCAAAGGUUCCCUCAGAAUGGUUGGAAAUCAUUCGAAGAGUGUAAAGGCAGAAGGGAGCUUGACUGCGAGACCAACAAGUCGAGCAGGGACGAAAGUCGGGCUUAGUGAUCCGGUGGUUCCGCAUGGAAGGGCCAUCGCUCAACGGAUAAAAGCUACCCUGGGGAUAACAGGCUUAUCUCCCCCAAGAGUCCACAUCGACGGGGAGGUUUGGCACCUCGAUGUCGGCUCGUCGCAUCCUGGGGCUGUAGUCGGUCCCAAGGG
rnacentral:rRNA from 1 species